AGGCGGCUACUGCGGAGAAGAUGGCAGAGCUCAGAAGAAUGGCUCACAGCCUCCAAAGAUAUGCCCCGUGCCUGCCUGCCACCUCCCUCUCAGCCCACUCCCCUGGCCUCUGUGUUCAUGUAGCAAGCGCCCAGCGGGAGGGGCCUGGCUUCCUGCAGAACCGGACCACACCUGGCUGCACUUCCACCUGCAGUGAGGGUGCAAGUCAAGGUCCUCCACAUUCUGGGCAGAGCAGGAGGGCCCCAUGGCAGUGCUUUCUGUUUCACGAGGCCCCGGGUUUUCUCAGCUCCAGCCCCAGGUGAGAGAAGUCCUGCCAACAGAGCAGCCCCCAGCAGCGUGGCAGCAGCCAGUAGAGGGAUGUGCUCUGAGCUGCUUCACCAGAAAGGACGUGGGAGAGAGGAGCCUUCAAGCAGCCCUUUCCCUUCCUGCCUCCGCCCACUCCUCCCUGCCACACCUGGGGCGGUGGACCUGCACUGCUCCCAGGCCAGGCUUCCUGAACCGAGCGCUGCAAGCUCAAAAGAACUAGCGUCCAGUCGAUCAGGCCGUGUCUUCCUGGUAAGCGGACCAUCUUUACCCCCACUUCCCUCUGCCACCUUGGACUACUGUUGGCAAUGCCACAGUUUUUUAAAGUGGUGGGCGGGCAGGCAGUGUUGAUAACCCACUCCCUGUAGUAAAAUACAGAUAAGCCAAAAAAAAAACAGAAAUUACAAGUAAUCAAUGUUUUGAUUUAUAUCCUUUUCAUACUUUCUUUUACAGAAACAUAACCAUACCAAUUUCUAACCUUUUUUCACUUAAUUCUAGACCAUGCACAUCUUUUCAUGUCAGUGAACAUACAUCCACAUCAUGCUUGUCUUGUUACACGACAGUUUCAUAUUUUAACCAAUCCCUUAUCUCUUGUUCUUAAAUAUUUAGCCAGCUUUCAGCUUUUCACUAAGUAGACAACACUAGGUUAUCAUCUCUGCACAGCUGUCUUAUUCCUAAAUGGGAUCCUGAGCAAGGGCUAGGUUCUUUUUUAGAUUUCGGAAAACACGUUCCCGAAGCACCCCCAUUGCAGGUGGACACACCUGCUUCCAGAAGCCCUGGACGCAGUGAUGCCACGUCAGGAACUCGUGCUUGCCCAUCUGUCAGCUCUACACCUACAGUGGAGACCCUGCCAGUCGGCCUCUCCUCCAGACUCCAACCCCACUUCUAGCUGUCCACUAACACCUCUACCUGGACAUCCCCCAAGCACCGCAAGGUCCACACAUCCAAAGCCACAUUCCUCUCCUGACAGGUCCCCAGUGUGGCCACCUCCCCCAGGCCUCGCCAUCACUUCCCUCCCAGCCACCUUCAUUGCCACCACCCAGCAGGGCUGGAACUUCUGCCCCCAUCUCCCUACCCUCCUCAGUCUGCCUGACUCACAGGGACAGGGACAAAGCCAGCUCCCCAGUCUUGGUGCCCCUCCAGGCAGAAAGGGCCGCCAGCAUGUGAUGGUCAAAUGCCAACUCCUUAACUGAUCCAUCCGGGUUUCCACCCGCAGCCCCCACUGUUUUCCUGCCAAGCCCACUAGAGGAGGUGCUCCCAGGCCACAGCUCUGACAGCGCAACCUGGCGGUAACCCCUCCACCUCACACUCCCCUAUACUUCCUGCCCCACGACCUGAAAUUGGCAUUUGUUCACCACUUUGUCCGCAAGGCUGGCCUAGGGC